AUCUCUUGACAAGUGAACGGCUCUUGCCACGCACUACCUUAGCACACUACUUACUCUCUUCUUCACUACGUUACAAAGACUGGUUACUUGUCUGCCAUUCGACGACGGGGAUGGCGUUGUUCGUCUUUGUACCCACGGAACCUGGCAAGGUGCUCGCUUAUUUUGAUAGAAAAACGCACUCCGCGCCGCAGAGGCAGAGAAACGACGGAGCGAGAUUGUCCUGGGAGCCAGAAGAGCUCCCGCAGCUGCUCAGAAUUUAGUGACCGGGCAACUGGGCAACCGUUGGGAAAACCUCACCUUCCCGUUGGCCACGGCUUUGCAUCUGAAUUUGCGGUUGGCGUCAGCCCGCAGUCUUGCCAGCUGCUCCUCGCUGGAGAAGGUCCAGUGCCGCUUCUG
rnacentral:lncRNA from 1 species